AACGAACGCUGGCGGCAUGCCUAACACAUGCAAGUCGAACGCGUCCUUCUGGUCUAGUGGCGCCCGGGUGCGUAACGCGUGGGAACCUGCCCUUAGGUUCGGAUUAACUCACCGCCCGGGGUGUUACUACCGGAUAAUGUCCUCGGACCAUAGAUGUAUCGCCUUUGGAUGGGCCUGCGUUGGUUUAGUUAGUUGGUAGGGUAAAAGCCUACCAAGGCGACGAUCCAUAGCUGGUCUGAGAGGAUGAUCAGCCACACUGGGACUGAGACACGGCCCAGACUCCUACGGGAGGCAGCAGUGGGGAAUAUGGGACAAUGGGCGAAAGCCGGAUCCAGCAAUGCCGCGUGAGUGAUGAAGGCCUUAGGGUUGUAAAGCUCUGUUACCCGUGAUGAUAAUGACAGUACCGGGAAAAUAAGCUCCGGCUAACUCCGUG
rnacentral:rRNA from 1 species